rnacentral:rRNA from 1 species
CGUGGGUGAUCUGCCCUGCACUCUGGGAUAAGCCUGGGAAACUGGGUCUAAUACCGGAUAUGACCUCGGGAUGCAUGUUCUGGGGUGGAAAGUUUUUCGGUGCAGGAUGAGCCCGCGGCCUAUCAGCUUGUUGGUGGGGUAAUGGCCUACCAAGGCGACGACGGGUAGCCGGCCUGAGAGGGCGACCGGCCACACUGGGACUGAGACACGGCCCAGACUCCUACGGGAGGCAGCAGUGGGGAAUAUUGCACAAUGGGCGCAAGCCUGAUGCAGCGACGCCGCGUGAGGGAUGACGGCCUUCGGGUUGUAAACCUCUUUCACCCAUGACGAAGCGCAAGUGACGGUAGUGGGAGAAGAAGCACCGGCCAACUACGUGCCAGCAGCCGCGGUAAUACGUAGGGUGCGAGCGUUGUCCGGAAUUACUGGGCGUAAAGAGCUCGUAGGCGGUUUGUCGCGUCGUCUGUGAAAUCCCGCAGCUCAACUGCGGGCUUGCAGGCGAUACGGGCA